rnacentral:rRNA from 2 species
UAUUGGGCGUAAGAGCUCGUAGGCGGUUUGUCGCGUCUGCUGUGAAAUCCCGAGGCUCAACCUCGGGCUUGCAGUGGGUACGGGCAGACUAGAGUGCGGUAGGGGAGAUUGGAAUUCCUGGUGUAGCGGUGGAAUGCGCAGAUAUCAGGAGGAACACCGAUGGCGAAGGCAGAUCUCUGGGCCGUAACUGACGCUGAGGAGCGAAAGCGUGGGGAGCGAACAGGAUUAGAUACCCUGGUAGUCCACGCCGUAAACGUUGGGCGCUAGAUGUAGGGACCUUUCCACGGUUUCUGUGUCGUAGCUAACGCAUUAAGCGCCCCGCCUGGGGAGUACGGCCGCAAGGCUAAAACUCAAAGGAAUUGACGGGGGCCCGCACAAGCGGCGGAGCAUGCGGAUUAAUUCGAUGCAACGCGAAGAACCUUACCAAGGCUUGACAUACACCGGAAACGGCCAGAGAUGGUCGCCCCCUUGUGGUCGGUGUACAGGUGGUGCAUGGUUGUCGUCAGCUCGUGUCGUGAGAUGUUGGGUUAAGUCCCGCAACGAGCGCAACCCUCGUUCUAUGUUGCCAGCGCGUUAUGGCGGGGACUCAUAGGAGACUGCCGGGGUCAACUCGGAGGAAGGUGGGGAUGACGUCAAAUCAUCAUGCCCCUUAUGUCUUGGGCUUCACGCAUGCUACAAUGGCCGGUACAAAGGGCUGCGAUACCGUAAGGUGGAGCGAAUCCCAAAAAGCCGGUCUCAGUUCGGAUUGAGGUCUGCAACUCGACCUCAUGAAGUCGGAGUCGCUAGUAAUCGCAGAUCAGCAACGCUGCGGUGAAUACGUUCCCGGGCCUUGUACACACCGCCCGUCAAGUCAUGAAAGUCGGUAACACCCGAAGCCGGUGGCCUAACCCUUGUGGAGGAGCCGUCGAAGUGGGAUCG